rnacentral:rRNA from 1 species
CAGCCGCCGCGGUAAUACGUAGGGUGCGAGCGUUAAUCGGAAUUACUGGGCGUAAAGCGUGCGCAGGCGGUUGUGUAAGACAGGUGUGAAAUCCCCGGGCUUAACCUGGGAACUGCGCUUGUGACUGCACAGCUAGAGUAUGGCAGAGGGGGGUGGAAUUCCACGUGUAGCAGUGAAAUGCGUAGAGAUGCGGAGGAACACCGAUGGCGAAGGCAGCCCCCUGGGCCAAUACUGACGCUCAUGCACGAAAGCGUGGGGAGCAAACAGGAUUAGAUACCCCUGUAGUCCCUGUCUCUUAUAU